rnacentral:lncRNA from 1 species
AUAAGCAUGAAUGCAAUUUGAUCAAUUGAGGUUAAACACAAAAGUGGAUGGAUGAAUGGAGUUGUUGGGGGUUUACAAUUUCAUCUAAUCCGCUCUCUCUUAUUUACUCCUCUUGAAUUAUUAGCUUGAUUAAUUAAUUGUCAUGCAACUUUCUUAGCCUACCCUUAACCCGAUCCCUCGGCGAAAAAAGCCUAAUACUAAUUACUGGCUUGCUAUCCCUAGCCUCCCCUAGCAAUUAAUACAACAUUAUAUAGCAGAAGUUAAAUGCAAUUGAUUGUCCUACCCCUAUCCCUAGGUGGUAUUGCAAAAUCAAGGAAUUACUCACCAGUUCAUGACAUUACUGUACGUCCCCGUAUCAAUAAAGACAAACAACAGUUAUCGAAUGAGUUAAACGAUAAAAGCAUUAAGCACAGAUGAGAACCCAACAAUUAAUAAUCAAAGCAUAUGGAAACCAUAUAAAUAAACAAGAGUUUCAAUAAAAGAGAGUUUAGAGGUUACAUCUUUUCCCAGCAACAAAUAAGAUUAGUUCCCCAUCGUCAUGGAGAAACUAGGUGAAGAAUGGAAUGAAAGAGAUAGAAACCCUAAAAAGGAGAAAAGGAGAGUUGUCACCAUCUCCAAAUCUAGCCCCAAAGGGGUGAAAAGUUUGUUUCUGUGCCUAAGCCAUCAAAAGAUACCAACCCUAAGACGUUCUGGCCUUUAAAG